UAGAAUGAUGAGAUUAGUCAAACAUGGUCACAGAGAAAGUAAAAUAAAGAAGAAACAUUCAAACUGAAGGAAGAAGGAGAAGAAGACGAUUGCCCCCCAUAGGUUUCAGUCCUAAAAGAUCUAUUUAUAUUCAAGGUAUCAAAAGGGUCCAAGCCUAAAACAGUUAAAAGACAAAAAUAACUAAUGAAAACUAAAAUCUAUCACACUCCACGACUGUCGUACGACCAGCAGAUUUCCCUUGGAUGUCUCGAGUUGAGAAUUUAAGGUGUCCUAGUAAUCAUGGUUGCCUCUAGUUUUGAUUUGUAGUCUUCAUGUUCCAAUGCUUGUUAUCAUUCCUUUGCUUUUCCAAGUCUCUCAUGUCAAGCCUUUCAUGGGUAAACUUCCUAAAAUUCAAAUAAAUAAACAAAAACGCACAUCACAAGUUCCAAAUGACAAAAUUAAAGAAAAUAAGGAUGAAUGUUUCCAAAUGCACUCAAAUUCAACGAUUAGAUAUAAACAUAACAUAUGAACUGUUUACCUCUUUGUCUAUAUUCUUUCGAUUAUUUGUGUUGCUUUCUUCUAAAAGAAGUUAAAGUUGCUUUUGUAAAAGCCUGAAAGUAUAAUGGAUUCAGGUUCUUAAUUCACACUAAGAAGGCAAUAGCAACUUCAAUAGUGAAAAUGACUACUCCACCCUAUAUUUGGCAUGCCUGCUAGGAGCUGUUAGAAGUUGUUGAUGUUCAUUUUGCUUUUGUUUAAGCCCUGAAUACAAUGACAAACCACACUGUUGUUGUUUUUUACAGCAAAUGGAAAAAAAAAUGUCUAUCUAAAAACUGCUCGGCUACAUUAUAUUAGGAAUCCAAUAGCCACUACUCGUCUCUGG
rnacentral:lncRNA from 1 species